rnacentral:rRNA from 2 species
UCUGGCGGCAGUAGCGCGGUGGUCCCACCUGACCCCAUGCCGAACUCAGAAGUGAAACGCCGUAGCGCCGAUGGUAGUGUGGGGUCAC